rnacentral:rRNA from 1 species
GAUGAACGCUGGCGGCGUGCCUAAUACAUGCAAGUAGAACGCUGAAGCUUGGUGCUUGCACCGAGCGGAUGAGUUGCGAACGGGUGAGUAACGCGUAGGUAACCUGCCUGGUAGCGGGGGAUAACUAUUGGAAACGAUAGCUAAUACCGCAUAACAGUAGAUAUUGCAUGAUAUCUGCUUGAAAGGUGCAAAUGCAUCACUACCAGAUGGACCUGCGUUGUAUUAGCUAGUUGGUGAGGUAACGGCUCACCAAGGCGACGAUACAUAGCCGACCUGAGAGGGUGAUCGGCCACACUGGGACUGAGACACGGCCCAGACUCCUACGGGAGGCAGCAGUAGGGAAUCUUCGGCAAUGGGGGGAACCCUGACCGAGCAACGCCGCGUGAGUGAAGAAGGUUUUCGGAUCGUAAAGCUCUGUUGUAAGAGAAGAACGAGUGUGAGAGUGGAAAGUUCACACUGUGACGGUAUCUUACCAGAAAGGGACGGCUAACUACGUG